rnacentral:rRNA from 1 species
GAUGAACGCUGGCGGCGUGCCUAAUGCAUGCAAGUCGAGCGAACAGACGAGGAGCUUGCUCCUUCGACGUUAGCGGCGGACGGGUGAGUAACACGUAGGUAACCUACCUAUAAGACUGGGAUAACUUCGGGAAACCGGAGCUAAUACCGGAUAAUAUUUCGAACCGCAUGGUUCGAUAGUGAAAGAUGGCUUUGCUAUCACUUAUAGAUGGACCUGCGCCGUAUUAGCUAGUUGGUAAGGUAACGGCUUACAAAGGCAACGAUACGUAGCCGACCUGAGAGGGUGAUCGGCCACACUGGAACUGAGACACGGUCCAGACUCCUACGGGAGGCAGCAGUAGGGAAUCUUCCGCAAUGGGCGAAAGCCUGACGGAGCAACGCCGCGUGAGUGAUGAAGGUCUUCGGAUCGUAAAACUCUGUUAUUAGGGAAGAACAAACGUGUAAGUAACUGUGCACGUCUUGACGGUACCUAAUCAGAAAGCCACGGCUAACUACGUG